UCCGCCGGUGGGGGUGUGGGGACGUCCAUUGCCGAGACUGAGGGAUUUAUUUGUGAGUUUAGGUUAUAUAUGGCGUAGUAAGAGCAAUGAAAAGUGUGGAGAAGAUGACUUGUCGAGGAGUACAUGUUAUAUAGACCAAAUGGCGAGGAGACAACUAAUUAAAUGUUUCACGUCCCACUUACAUAUUGUAGGUGGUAUUAAUAUUGGACAUUAACUCGUGUUUACAUGAAAAUAGUAAACUAUAAACUAUUUCCGAUUAAAACCGAAACUUCAAAUUACAAUUUUCGAGUUUAUUGGUUUAUGUACGUUCAGAUUUACACGUGUACGUCUAUAUUGAAAUUUGUAUUUAUUAUGCCUGGCCACGUCUAUCACAAAACUGUCUUUUUGCGUCAAUCCAAUCAUGUUUAUUCCUACAUUUAUAGUAACUUUAAAGUUAUAAUGUAAGUACAGAAAGAAGUAUGGAUUACGAAACUUCAAAUUUAUUGCUUACAUCCGAAUAAACCCUUAAACCGAUAAACCUUGUAAACCAGAGGUUAAGCACAAAUUGAAACAUAACUUUAUAGAAGCAUUACAAGAACUUGAACAACUUCACGCAUAGAGGAUAAAACGAAAUAGAAACAUAACGGCAUUAGAAGAACUAGGAACAUAACUUAGACGAUAACAUUAAAUCA
rnacentral:sRNA from 1 species